UACAGAGGUCUCAAGCGUUGUUCGGAUUCAUUGGGCGUAAAGGGUGUGUAGGUGGCGCGCUAAGUCGGGUGUGAAAUUUCGGAGCUUAACUCCGAAACUGCAUUCGAUACUGGCGUGCUUGAGGACUGGAGAGGAGACUGGAAUUCAUGGUGUAGCAGUGAAAUGCGUAGAGAUCAUGAGGAAGACCAGUGGCGAAGGCGGGUCUCUGGACAGUUCCUGACACUGAGACACGAAGGCAGGGGAGCAAACGGG
rnacentral:rRNA from 1 species